UACAAAAACGGUGAUUCCAAACAGCUGAAUGAAAAGAAAUGUUUAACUCUGUGAGACGAAUCCACACAUCAAAAAGCAGUUUCUCAGAUAGCUUUCUUCUAGUUUUUAUCCUGAGAAAAAUAUUUUUUCAUCAUUCUCCUCAAUAAGCUCUGAAAUGUCCAUUUGCGGAAUGGACAAAUACAGUUUUUCCAAACUGCUGAAUCAAAAGAAAGGUUAAACUCUAUGAGAUGAACUCACACAUCACAAAGCAUUUUCUGAGAAAUCUUCAUUCCACUUUUUAUCUGAAGAUAUUUUCCUUUUCACCAUAUGCUUCGAAUUUCUCUCAAAUAUCUGUAUACAGUUUCUUCAAGAAAAGUGUUUCCAGACUUUUAACUCUGCUAGAUGAUGGACACAAGAAAAAGCAGUUUCUCAGGACACAAUGGACACCUAAAUUUAACUUCGCAGAUUCUCCCAAAAAAGUGUUUCCAACCUGCUGAAUCAAAGGAAAGUUUUAAAUCUGUGAGAUGAAUCCACACAUCACAGAGCAGUUUCACAGACAGCUUUUUUCUAUUUUUUGUCUGGCGUUAUUUGGUUUUUCCCCAUAGGCUUCAAUAGGCUUUUAAAUGUUCCUUUGCAGAUUAUCCAAAAAGAGUGUUUCCAAUCUGCUGAAUAAAAAGAAAUGUUUAAUUCUGUUAGAUGAAUCCACAUAUCACAAAGCAGUUUCACAGAUAAUUUCUUUCCAGUUUUUAUCAGGGAAUAUUCCUUUUUUUCCAUGUAGUCCUCAAUAGGCUCCCAGAUGUCCCUUCAUAGAUUCUUAAAAAGAGUGUUUCUGACCUGCUGAAUCAAAAGGAUCUUUUAACUCUGUGAGAUGAAUCCACACGUCACAAAGCAGUUUCACAGAUUGCUCCUUUUUCGUUUUUGUCUGCG
rnacentral:lncRNA from 10 species